rnacentral:misc_RNA from 1 species
AACUGAUACUACCUGCGGGAACCUGCGGAAGGAUCAUUAUUGAUUUUAACAGGAUGUGCUGGCUCUCAAGGGCAAUGUGCACUCCUAAUAAAACCAAUUAUCCACCUGUGCACCUUAAGUAGACUAGUAGGACUCCAUCACAGUCCUUCUGGUCUAUGUUCUUUCACAAACCUUUUUGAAAUGUAAAUGAAUGAUCAUCUGUAUAAUUAAUAACAACUUUUAACAACGGAUCUCUAGAUC